rnacentral:sRNA from 1 species
CAGCUAAAGGCUAAUUAUUUUUAAACACAAAAAGAUUUUAGCAUAUUAUUUGAGUCUCAGUGGGAAUAUGUCUAAAAAAUAGACUUUUUUUGGAAUACAGUAUCAGUAGUCUAGUUCUCAUGAAAUAUGACAUGGGUAACGUGGCUACUAUAGGAUGUGGGGUCACCAGGUCAUCAUGAAAACCACCAUUAAUGAACCCUAAACUCUGUGCCUUGGGAAGACCAUCUAAUCCAAUACCCUGUUUCUAAAGAUGGGAAAGCGGAGGAUCAAAUGGUGAAAUGAUCUGAUGUCAUGACCUUGGCAAGAACAAGUGAUACAGUUCAGCUUUUACUAUAUAUUUCUAUUUAUGGUUAUCUUCGUAUUUUUAGAAGUUUUGGGGUUUUUUUUUUAUAGUUUUGUGAAAGAAAGGAUGGGAAUAAGAUUUGUGUUUAUUUUGCAUAAACCUAUCUUGUGUGGAAGAUGUGUAAUGAUUUCAUAUAAGAGACAUCACAGCAAUGGUACUUAGAUUUUGAGUUAAUGAAUGGUGUUUAGGUUGAGAUACACAUCUGUUAUGAUUUUCAAUAAUAUUAAUGAUGUUGAUGGUGAUAGCAACAUUUAUGUAACCACAAGUUAAUAUUAUUCAAAGCUCCAUUCUGAUUUGGAAAGAACAGCAGAUUUUGCAUCCAAGGACUGACUCUUAAGUCUUACUUUUGCCACUUAGUAGCCGAGUGACCCAUAAAAUGAGAAUGGUAAUACACACUUCUACUCACAGUAUGUAAUUGAUGAAGAAUAAAUAUGCUUAUUGGAGAUCAUUUUAAUCUAUGAAGCACUAUAAGACAUAAGCUGUUAUUUAUCAAAAAAAUAUAAUUCUAAUGUUGCCCCAGUGUUGCUCCAAAUAACAAAACUUUUAAAGUCAUAAAAACAAGUAAAAAUUUUGGGUAAAAAUGUAACUUUUUAUUAAAUAAGCAUUGCAUUGCAGUUGAGGAAAAGAUAAUGUUGAAAUUCAAAAUUGUGUGCAGAAACGAUACUGGAGUAUUUGUGUCAGACAUUGUCAAAGGAGGAAUUGCGGAUGCCGAUGGAAGACUGAUGCAGGGAGACCAGAUAUUAAUGGUGAAUGGGGAAGACGUUCGUAAUGCCACCCAGGAAGCGGUUGCCGCUUUGCUAAAGGUGAGUGAAGGCAGCCUGUCAUCUUUCACUUUUCCACUCUCUGGAUCCAGUACAUCUGAGUCACUGGAAAGUAGCUCAAAGAAGAAUGCAUUGGCAUCUGAAAUACAGGGAUUAAGAACAGUUGAAAUAAAAAAGGUUGGGGAUAGGAUUGUCACUAUCUGUGGCACAUCCACUGAGGGCAUGACUCACACCCAAGCAGUUAACCUACUGAAAAAUGCAUCUGGCUCCAUUGAAAUGCAGGUGGUUGCUGGAGGAGAUGUGAGUGUGGUCACAGGUCAUCAGCAGGAGCCUGCAAGUUCCAGUCUUUCUUUCACUGGGCUGACGUCAAGCAGUAUAUUUCAGGAUGAUUUAGGACCUCCUCAAUGUAAGUCUAUUACACUAGAGCGAGGACCAGAUGGCUUAGGCUUCAGUAUAGUUGGAGGAUAUGGCAGCCCUCAUGGAGACUUACCCAUUUAUGUUAAAACAGUGUUUGCAAAGGGAGCAGCCUCUGAAGACGGACGUCUGAAAAGGGGCGAUCAGAUCAUUGCUGUCAAUGGGCAGAGUCUAGAAGGAGUCACCCAUGAAGAAGCUGUUGCCAUCCUUAAACGGACAAAAGGCACUGUCACACUGAUGGUUCUCUCUUGAAUUGGCUGCCAGAAUUGAACCAACCCAACCCCUAGCUCACCUCCUACUGUAAAGAGAAUGGACUGGUCCUGACAUUUUUUAUGCUGUGUUCAGCCGGGUCUUCAAAACUGUAGAGGGGAAAUAACACUUAAGUUUGUUUUUCUCAUAUACAAAUGCUUUCCUUACUGACAACCUAAUAUCAUUUUUCUUUUCUUCUCGCAUUUUGUGAACUUAAAGUCAGAGAGAAGGAAUAUUUGUGUAGGUGAAUCUCGUUUUUAUUUGUGAAGAUAUCUAAUGUUUUGUAGUCACAUGGGCAAGAAUUAUUACAUGCUAAGCUGGUUAGUAUAAAGAAAGAUAAAUUCUAAGGCUAACCAAAGAAAAUGGCUUCAGUAAAUUAGGAUGAAAAAUGAAAAUAUAAAAUAAAGAAGAAAAUCUCGGGGAGUUUAAAAAAAUUGCCUCAAUUUGGCAAUCUACCUCCUCUCCCCACCCCAAACUAAAAAAAAGAAAAAAAAGUUUUCUAAUGAAAAUCUUUAAAAAUGCUGUCAGUAUUUUAAAAUUUUCAAUACAGUAUUAUAAAAACAUUGCAUCUCCCCACCUCUAAUAUGCAUACAUAUUUUUCCUGCUAAAAUUGGUUUCUAGAAUUGAGUAAAUGGCAAAUAUAUGAAGCAAUGUCCCUACAUUUUAUAAAGAAAUUAUAUUUAAUGCACAUUUCAAUUUUCAUUUUUAUUUUUGACCUUUUAUAAAAUAUUUUCAUGUUGCUAUGAGUAAAUGAUGAUGCCACCCCAUGUUGACUAUGGUUUUUCUAGAAAGCAACUAUGCUGCUAACCAUAGAGGAACAUAGAAGGGUUCCAGAAUCUUUAGUGCUGGUUUUAACAACCGAUGCAACAUUAAAAAUGUGUUUGUUAGUGUGCUGUGCAAUUGGUUUUCAAUUCGUAUUAAUCUUAAUGACAGAGAACAAUGUGUUACUAAUUAUUUUGGUUGUAUGCCAUUAGUAAAUUGAUAGAAAAAUUAAGGGGAUUAACAUAACUUCAUUUCAUUGCCUUAUAUUAACAUCUGAUAAUACAAUAGUUUAAGACUAAGGGAAACAGAUGGAGCUGUUUAUUGAGACAACUGGUGAGGAAUUAUCAUGUGUUCAUUCCCAUUUUAGAGCGUGAAACUCCUACAUUAGAAUAUAUAAAGUCACUUUAAAUAUUAUCUAUAUUUGUAACAGAAGUAGUGUACAGAUAUUUUAUUACAGCAUUUUUGUGUAAAUGCAGAAUUAAAGUGAAUAAAUAAGAAUUUUCAGUGGUGCACAAAU